rnacentral:rRNA from 1 species
UACGUAGGGUGCAAGCGUUGUCCGGAAUUAUUGGGCGUAAAGAGCUCGUAGGCGGUUUGUCGCGUCUGCUGUGAAAACUCGGGGCUUAACUCCGGGCCGGCAGUGGGUACGGGCAGACUAGAGUGCGGUAGGGGAGACUGGAAUUCCUGGUGUAGCGGUGAAAUGCGCAGAUAUCAGGAGGAACACCGGUGGCGAAGGCGGGUCUCUGGGCCGGAACUGACGCUGAGGAGCGAAAGCGUGGGGAGCGAACAGG